rnacentral:rRNA from 1 species
UACGAAGGGGGCUAGCGUUGCUCGGAAUCACUGGGCGUAAAGGGUGUGUAGGUGGCGCGCUAAGUCGGGUGUGAAAUUUCGGAGCUUAACUCCGAAACUGCAUUCGAUACUGGCGUGCUUGAGGACUGGAGAGGAGACUGGAAUUCAUGGUGUAGCAGUGAAAUGCGUAGAGAUCAUGAGGAAGACCAGUGGCGAAGGCGGGUCUCUGGACAGUUCCUGACACUGAGACACGAAGGCCAGGGGAGCAAACGGG